AUUGAACGCUGGCGGCAGGCCUAACACAUGCAAGUCGAACGAGUGGCGGACGGGUGAGUAAUGUCUGGGAAACUGCCUGAUGGAGGGGGAUAACUACUGGAAACGGUAGCUAAUACCGCAUACCAUCAGAUGUGCCCAGAUGGGAUUAGCUAGUGGGUGGGGUAACGGCGCACCAAGGCGACGAUCCCUAGCUGGUCUGAGAGGAUGACCAGCCACCUGGUAACUGAGACACGGUCCAGACUCCUAAGGGAGGCAGCAGUGGUGAAUAUUGCACAAUGGGCGAAAGCCUGAUGCAGCAAUGCCGCGUGUAUGAAGAGGGCCUUCGUGUUGUAAAGUACUUUCAGCGGGGAGGCGUUACCCGCAGAAGAAGCACCGGCGAACUCCGUGCCAGCAGCCGCGGUAAUUC
rnacentral:rRNA from 1 species